rnacentral:rRNA from 1 species
UACAUGUGGGGCAAGCGUUGUUCGGAUUCAUUGGGCGUAAAGGGUGCGUAGGCGGCGGGGCAAGUCUGAUGUGAAAUCCCGGGGCUCAACCCCGGAACUGCAUUGGAUACUGCCUUGCUUGAGUACUGGAGAGGGAACUGGAAUUUACGGUGUAGCAGUGAAAUGCGUAGAGAUCGUAAGGAAGGCCAGUGGCGAAGGCGAGUUCCUGGACAGUUACUGACGCUGAGGCACGAAGGCCAGGGGAGCAAACGGG